rnacentral:rRNA from 1 species
CCCUUAGAUGUUCUGGGCCGCACGCGCGCUACACUGAUGCAUUCAACGAGUCUAAAACCUGCUCUGAUAGGGGUGGGUAAUCUUUUAAAUGUGCAUCGUGAUUGGGAUAGAUGAUUGCAAUUUUUCAUCUUCAACGAGGAAUGCCUAGUAAACGCAAGUCAUCAGCUUGCAUUGAUUACGUCCCUGCCCUUUGUACACACCGCCCGUCGCUCCUACCGAUUGAAUGAUCCGAUGAAUAUCAUGGAUUGAGGAUGCAAGCAGGUUCGCCUGUCUUCAUCUUCGAGAAGUGAAGUAAAUCUUAUCAUUUAGAGGAAGGAGAAGUCGUAACA